rnacentral:rRNA from 2 species
GUCGAACGAUGAAACUUAAAUGAAUUCUUCGGAAUGAUUUUAAUUGGAUUAGUGGCGAACGGGUGAGUAACGCGUGAGUAACCUGCCUUACACAAGGGGAUAGCCUCUGGAAACGGAGAAUAAUACCCUAUGAAACUAUCUUAUCGCAUGAAAAGAUAGUCAAAGUGUUUUAGCGGUGUAAGAUGGACUUGCGUCUGAUUAGCUAGUUGGUGAGAUAACAGCCCACCAAGGCAACGAUCAGUAGCCGGCUUGAGAGAGUGUACGGCCACAUUGGGACUGAGACACGGCCCAGACUCCUACGGGAGGCAGCAGUGGGGAAUUUUGCACAAUGGGGGCAACCCUGAUGCAGCGACGCCGCGUGAUUUAGAAGGCCUUCGGGUUGUAAAAAUCUUUUGUAUAGGAAGAAAAUGACGGUACUAUACGAAUAAGGUCCGGCUAAUUACGUGCCAGCAGCCGCGGUAAUACGUAAGGACCGAGCGUUGUCCGGAAUCAUUGGGCGUAAAGGGUACGUAGGCGGUUAGAAAAGUUAGAAGUGAAAGGCUAUAGCUCAACUAUAGUAAGCUUUUAAAACUGUUUAACUUGAGAGAUGGAAGGGAAAGUGGAAUUCCUAGUGUAGCGGUGAAAUGCGCAGAUAUUAGGAGGAAUACCGGUGGCGAAGGCGACUUUCUGGCCAUUAUCUGACGCUGAGGUACGAAAGCGUGGGUAGCAAA